rnacentral:rRNA from 1 species
UACGGGGGGGGCAAGCGUUGUUCGGAAUUACUGGGCGUAAAGGGCUCGUAGGUGGCCAACUAAGUCAGACGUGAAAUCCCUCGGCUUAACCGGGGAACUGCGUCUGAUACUGGAUGGCUUGAGUUCGGGAGAGGGAUGCGGAAUUCCAGGUGUAGCGGUGAAAUGCGUAGAUAUCAGGAAGAACACCGGUGGCGAAGGCGCUCUGCUAGGCCGCAACUGACACUGAGGGACGAAAGCUAGGGGAGCGAAUGGG